ACACAAACGUUUGCACCGCCAAGGGUGGGGGGCACCGCUGAAACCCUCAGCAGCGCUAGACGGACUGCAUAGUGUCAGCGGUUGUGGAUCACUGAGACGAAGGCUUCUCCCCCCUCUCUUUACUUUUUCUAUCCCCCACAGUUGCGCCCUUUACCUCUCCACAGCACGCUUGCUAUGUAAUUAAGAUGUGAAGGUCUCAAGGAGCUCUACGCGGAUGGCAUGCCGAAUCUGCCUAUCACGAGCCUCGUCUAUCAGGAGAGCUGCGCUACUUCCAAGAAGGUGGCAGACCGGUCCUAUUGAACCUCUCUAUAUUUUUUCAACGCAGCCUUUCUGCCAUACGUCAUGAGCUCAACUCUACCCCCCCCCCCCCCCCCGUCACAGGCCCCCAUCGCAUGAUGCAAAGAAGCCGUCGACACACGCCGGGGCAGCAAUGCACCGACUCAGCCAUUUUGAGCGCAGCCCCUGCCUCAAGCUUCCCCCCCACACACGCCUAAAAGCGCUUUUCUUUCUCUACCCCAACGCUGCUAUGAUGGCAACCACCACCACAGUGUGUUGCGCAUCGGCGGUCCGAUUUCGCCACUUUGUAGGGACUCGAGCCUGUCUACAAUUAGGCCCUUCUUUUGCGGCAGCGGGGCUGAUACAGUUUCCAUAAAAUGAUGUGAGUGGAGGAUGCGCCGCACACGGCUGCCUACACCCGCAACGCGCAGGAAGGCAAAUUUGUGGAGGACUGUCACUCACACCGAAAAGGAAAGACGCACAUGUGCGGCAGUGUCCAACCCUGAGUCACCGCGGCACGGAGGGGACGACGCUCUUGCCCGACCUUUCUCUUCUUCGCCACUCCCUCUCACCUCGCUAUCAUCCCUUCUUACCCUUCUUUCACGUUCUCUGCCGAAUCACGGACAAACCUCGACUACGACGCGUCAACAACAACGAAAACUUGCACGACCGACGCCGGUGACCCGAUACCCUACCAACGGUAUCACCACACACAUAAACACACAUGUGUCACGCAUACACGCGAAG
rnacentral:misc_RNA from 1 species